ACACAUGCAAGUCGAGGGGUAACAUUGUAGCUUGCUACAGAUGACGACCGGCGCACGGGUGCGUAACGCGUAUACAAUCUACCUAUUACUAAGAGAUAGCCCAGAGAAAUUUGGAUUAAUAUUUUAUAGUAUUAUCGAUUGGCAUCAAUUGAUAAUUAAAGAUUACGGUAAUAGAUGAGUAUGCGUCCUAUUAGCUUGAUGGUAAGGUAACGGCUUACCAUGGCUACGAUAGGUAGGGGUCCUGAGAGGGAGAUCCCCCACACUGGUACUGAGACACGGACCAGACUCCUACGGGAGGCAGCAGUGAGGAAUAUUGGACAAUGGGAGCAAUCCUGAUCCAGCCAUGCCGCGUGCAGGAAGACUGCCCUAUGGGUUGUAAACUGCUUUUAUACAGGAAGAAAAAGGUUCACGUGUGAACUGUUGACGGUACUGUAGGAAUAAGGAUCGGCUAACUCCGUGCCAGCAGCCGCGGUAAUACGGAGGAUCCAAGCGUUAUCCGGAAUCAUUGGGUUUAAAGGGUCCGUAGGCGGGACAAUCAGUCAGUGGUGAAAGUUUGCGGCUCAACCGUAAAAUUGCCAUUGAUACUGUUGUUCUUGAGUGCUUGUGAAGUGGUUAGAAUGAGUAGUGUAGCGGUGAAAUGCAUAGAUAUUACUCAGAAUACCGAUUGCGAAGGCAGAUCACUAACAAUUCACUGACGCUGAUGGACGAAAGCGUAGGUAGCGAACAGGAUUAGAUACCCUGGUAGUCUACGCCGUAAACGAUGGUUACUAGCUGUUCGGACUAAUUGCGGUCUGAGUGGCUAAGCGAAAGUGAUAAGUAACCCACCUGGGGAGUACGUUCGCAAGAAUGAAACUCAAAGGAAUUGACGGGGGCCCGCACAAGCGGUGGAGCAUGUGGUUUAAUUCGAUGAUACGCGAGGAACCUUACCAGGGCUUAAAUGCAGUUUGACAGGGGUGGAAACAUCUUUUUCUUCGGACAAAUUGCAAGUGCUGCAUGGUUGUCGUCAGCUCGUGCCGUGAGGUGUCAGGUUAAGUCCUAUAACGAGCGC
rnacentral:rRNA from 1 species